rnacentral:rRNA from 1 species
GACCCAGCAACGCCGCGUGAAGGAUGAAAUCCCUCGGGAUGUAAACUUCGCAAGAAUGGGAAGAAUAAGUAGGGGACAAUACCCCCUAUGAUGACGGUACCAUUUGUAAGCUCCGGCUAACUCCGUGCCAGCAGCCGCGGUAAUACGGGGGGAGCAAGCGUUGUUCGGAUUUACUGGGCGUAAAGGGCGCGUAGGCGGCCAGCACAAGUCAGUUGUGAAAUCUCCGGGCUUAACCCGGAAAGGUCAACUGAUACUGUGCGGCUAGAGUGCGGAAGGGGCAACUGGAAUUCUCGGUGUAGCGGUGAAAUGCGUAGAUAUCGAGAGGAACACCUGCGGCGAAGGCGGGUUGCUGGGCCGACACUGACGCUGAGACGCGAAAGCCAGGGGAGCGAACGGGAUUAGAUACCCCGGUAGUCCUGGCCUUAAACGAUGGAUGCUUGGUGUCUGGGGUUUUAUAGUCCCCGGGUGCCGUAGCUAACGCGUUAAGCAUCCCGCCUGGGGAGUACGGUCGCAAGACUGAAACUCAAAGGAAUUGACGGGGACCCGCACAAGCGGUGGAGCAUGUGGUUCAAUUCGACGCA